AGAUUGAACGCUGGCGGCAUGCCUUACACAUGCAAGUCGAACGGCAGCACGGGAGCAAUCCUGGUGGCGAGUGGCGAACGGGUGAGUAAUACAUCGGAACGUGCCCAUCGUGGGGAUAACGCAGCGAAAGCUGUGCUAAGUACCGCAUAACGAUCUACGGAUAGAAGCAGGGAUCGCAAGACCUUGCGCGAUGGAGCGGCGAUGCAGAGUUAGGUAGUUGUGAGGUAAAGCUACGACCAA
rnacentral:rRNA from 1 species